AGUUCUUCAAUAUCGUUUACAAAUGUGUCGUAGGGAACUGGGCCCGGUGAUCGUGAGAGCCUGUAUGGUUGCACGUGUAUAUGAGAGAAACGAAGUGAGCGAGAUUAUCAGCUGUAGGCCUAACGAGAAACAAUUACGAUCUGAUUAAGUAGAUUAAAUGAGCUGAAUAUACAUUUGAGUAAACAAUUUACGGUGGAAUGUGCCCUUGAUUCUCUUUUUAAAGGUGGCAUUUGAUGAGACUUGUGGCGUUUGCUAUUGCUCUGCCACUCGUCUACUGCCUGGUCUAAACUUUCUGUGCCUGGUAUAGUAGUGCCAAGUGGUACUGCCACGGCACUACGGACGCAGCAGCCACUUCGAGGGCGCUGCCGCGGGCUUAAAGAGGGAUGGGCUCAUAGUGAAACCCAUGCAGUGAAGUGUACACACAAGCUCGAUCUCCGUACGUAUGCCGUGGCGUUAGCGCCUUGUAUAGAUAUAUCGUAGAUAUAGAGUAAAGGAGCCGGUUUUCGGCCACUAAAGACAAAAUCCUAUUUUUUGGACCCUUACUUCCUAUUUAUUA